UAUCCUAGUGGUUAGAGUGUAGAGGUGGCAGGUAUCCUAGUGGUUAGAGUGUAGAGGUGGCAGGUAUCCUAGUGGUUAGAGCGUAGAGGAGGCAGGUAUCCUAGUGGUUAGAGCGUAGAGGAGGCAGGUAUCCUAGUGGUUAGAGUGUAGAGGAGGCAGGUAUCCUAGUGGUUAGAGUGUAGAGGUGGCAGGUAUCCUAGUGGUUAGAGUGUAGAGGUGGCAGGUAUCCUAGUGGUUAGAGUGUAGAGGUGGCAGGUAUCCUAGUGGUUAGAGUGUAGAGGUGGCAGGUAUCCUAGUGGUUAGAGUGUAGAGGUGGCAGGUAUCCUAGUGGUUAGAGUGUAGAGGUGGCAGGUAUCCUAGUGGUUAGAGUGUAGAGGUGGCAGGUAUCCUAGUGGUUAGAGUGUAGAGGUGGCAGGUAUCCUAGUGGUUAGAGUGUAGAGGUGGCAGGUAUCCUAGUGGUUAGAGUGUAGAGGUGGCAGGUAUCCUAGUGGUUAGAGUGUAGAGGUGGCAGGUAUCCUAGUGGUUAGAGUGUAGAGGUGGCAGGUAUCCUAGUGGUUAGAGUGUAGAGGUGGCAGGUAUCCUAGUGGUUAGAGUGUAGAGGAGGCAGGUAUCCUAGUGGUUAGA